UCGCAGAAGAGCAUGCAGAGCCUCAUUCGCAGGGUGUCGACAAGGUGGGGUAUUUUAUUGCCCUUUGGAGUCUCAUUGGCGCUUUUGUCAGGACGAGAAGUCUUUUCAUUGGAGCUUUACAAGCACGUCAAAGGGAGUCUCUCUCUGAUGCGAAAACAAUGCGGGAGAUUUUCUUUUCAGAUCGGCGCCUUAUCUUCACUGGCGAAGCUUAUCCUGCAUAUUGAUGCGUCUGAAGACUGAGAUGAAUAUGAAGGAAUGAAGAACGGCUGCAGCAAAGUGGUGAUAUAUUCAGGGAUGAAUCAGUCGGCGCUGUGCUGCUUUCUUUUUUUUCUUUUUUUUCAUAUAAUCAAUAAUUAAGUUCAAAUAAUCAGUUUCAUUAUACUCUUUCUUGUUUGGUGAUGGUUGUGGCAGUGGAAACAGCUUGCUUCUUUCUUGUUUGGUACCGUGGUAGGUCACAUCGAUACCCCACCACCACCACACACACACAUCGUCAUCCAGGUAUACGCGAAUAUGGGAGGCAUGUGGAGGCUUUGCUGGGAGCUGGGAUGAUAUACCACCCCUCCGUGCUUGGGAUUCUGGAUAAACCACUGCACCCAUGCCUGCUGGACUUCUGGAACUUCUGGACCUGAUACACGCUUCCGGUCAGGAUAUCCAACGGGUCAAGAGAUCCACCGAGUCAGGA